rnacentral:rRNA from 1 species
CAUACAGCUCAGUAACACGUGGCUAACCUGCCCUUAGGACGAGAACACCCCCGGGAAACUGGGGCUAAUUCUCGAUAGGCGAAGAACUCUGGAAUGAGUCUUCACUUAAAAGGCACUGCGUUAUGCUCGUAGUGUCGCCCAAGGAUGGGGCCGCGACCGAUCAGGUUGUUGGUGAGGUAAUGGCUCACCAAGCCUUUAACCGGUGCGGGCCGUGGGAGCGGGAGCCCGGAGAUGGGCACUGAGACAAGGGCCCAGGCCCUACGGGGCGCAGCAGUCGCGAAAACUUUGCAAUAAGCGAAAGCUUGACAGGGCUAUCCCGAGUGCCAUCCGCUGAGGAAGGCUUUUACCCAGUCUAGAACGCUGGGGGAAUAAGGAGAGGGCAAGUCUGGUGUCAGCCGCCGCGGUAAUACCAGCUCUCCGAGUGGUGUGGAUGUUUAUUGGGCCUAAACCAUCCGUAACUGGCUAGGUUAUUCCCCUGUUAAAUCCACAGAAUUAAUUCCUUAGAUCUGCGACGAUACUGCUUGGCUAACGGA